rnacentral:rRNA from 1 species
CCUACGGGAGGCAGCAGUGGGGAAUUUUGGACAAUGGGCGCAAGCCUGAUCCAGCAAUGCCGCGUGAGUGAAGAAGGCCUUCGGGUUGUAAAGCUCUUUUGUCAGGGAAGAAACGGUCUACUCUAAUACAGUGGGCUAAUGACGGUACCUGAAGAAUAAGCACCGGCUAACUACGUGCCAGCAGCCGCGGUAAUACGUAGGGUGCAAGCGUUAAUCGGAAUUACUGGGCGUAAAGCGUGCGCAGGCGGUUAUAUAAGUCAGAUGUGAAAUCCCCGGGCUCAACCUGGGAACUGCAUUUGAGACUGUAUGGCUAGAGUGUGUCAGAGGGGGGUAGAAUUCCACGUGUAGCAGUGAAAUGCGUAGAUAUGUGGAGGAAUACCGAUGGCGAAGGCAGCCCCCUGGGAUAACACUGACGCUCAUGCACGAAAGCGUGGGGAGCAAACAGGAUUAGAUACCCUGGUAGUCCACGCCCUAAACGAUGUCUACUAGUUGUCGGGACUUAAUUGUCUUGGUAACGCAGCUAACGCGUGAAGUAGACCGCCUGGGGAGUACGGUCGCAAGAUUAAAACUCAAAAGUGAAUUGACGGNGAGAGAGAGACGACGGACGACGACGGAGGAGGAG